UACGGGGGGGGCAAGCGUUGUUCGGAAUUACUGGGCGUAAAGGGCUCGUAGGUGGCCAACUAAGUCAGACGUGAAAUCCCUCGGCUUAACCGGGGAACUGCGUCUGAUACUGGAUGGCUUGAGUUCGGGAGAGGGAUGCGGAAUUCCAGGUGUAGCGGUGAAAUGCGUAGAUAUCUGGAGGAACACCGGUGGCGAAGGCGGCAUCCUGGACCGACACUGACACUGAGGAGCGAAAGCCAGGGGAGCAAACGGA
rnacentral:rRNA from 1 species